rnacentral:rRNA from 1 species
UACGUAGGGUGCGAGCGUUGUCCGGAAUUACUGGGCGUAAAGAGCUUGUAGGUGGUUUGUCGCGUUGUUCGUGAAAUCUCACGGCUCAACUGUGAGCGUGCGGGCGAUACGGGCAGACUAGAGUACUGCAGGGGAGACUGGAAUUCCUGGUGUAGCGGUGGAAUGCGCAGAUAUCAGGAGGAACACCGGUGGCGAAGGCGGGUCUCUGGGCAGUAACUGACGCUGAGAAGCGAAAGCGUGGGGAGCGAACAGGAUAGAU